GACGAACGCUGGCGGCGUGCUUAACACAUGCAAGUCGAACGGAAAGGCCUGUCCUUCCUUGUGUUGGACGGGUACUCGAGUGGCGAACGGGUGAGUAACACGUGAGUUAUCUGCCCCCAACUUGGGUAUAAGCCUGGGAAACUGGGUCUAAUUCCCGAUAGGACUGCAGGGUGGUGCCUGUGGUGGAAAACGAUUUUCUAGUGGUUGGGGAUGAGCUCGCGGCCUAUCAGCUUGUUGGUGGGGUAAUGGCCUACCAAGGCGGCGACGGGUAGCCGGCCUGGGAGGGUGGACGGCCACAUUGGGACUGAGAUACGGCCCAGACUCCUACGGGAGGCAGCAGUGGGGAAUAUUGCACAAUGGGCGGAAGCCUGAUGCAGCGACGCCGCGUGGGGGAUGACGGCCUUCGGGUUGUAAACUCCUUUCGACCGCGAGGAAGCCGCCUGGUUGGAAGGGUGGUGACGGUAGUGGUAGAAGAAGCACCGGCUAACUACGUG
rnacentral:rRNA from 1 species